GCGCCGACGCCGCCAAGGAGAUCAAGAGCCUGAUCAGUGCGAGCGUGGACCGCGUCGAGUCCGGCACGCGCUUGGUCGGAGCCGCCGGCAGCACCAUGCAGGAAAUCGUUUCCAGCGUUCAACGGGUGACCGACAUUAUUGGCGAGAUCACUGCCGCGUCCGAUGCCCAGA
rnacentral:rRNA from 1 species